UACGAGGGUGCGAGCUUGUUCGGAAUUAUUGGGCGUAAAGGGCGUCGUGAGGCGGCGCCACAAGUCACUUGUGAAAACUCUGGGCUCAACUCAGAGCCUGCAAGCGAAACUGUGGUGCUGGAGUAUGGGAGAGGUGCGUGGAAUUCCCGGUGUAGCGGUGAAAUGCGUGAGAUAUCGGGGAGGAACACCUGUGGCGAAAGCGGCGCACUGGACCAUAACUGACGCUGAGGCGCGAAAGGCUAGGGGGAGUCAAACAGG
rnacentral:rRNA from 1 species